UACGGUCACAUCACGUUGAAAUACCAGUUCCUAUUUGAACACUACAGUUAAGCAACUUUGUGUCUGGUCAGUACCUAUAUCGGUGACGACUUGGGUAUACUAAGUGCUGCAAG